UACGGGGGGGGCUAGCGUUGUUCGGAUUUACUGGGCGUAAAGGGCGCGUAGGCGGUCGUGACAAGUCACUUGUGAAAUCUCCGGGCUUAACUCGGAACGGUCAAGUGAUACUGUCGGACUAGAGUGCAGAAGGGGCAACUGGAAUUCUCGGUGUAGCGGUGAAAUGCGUAGAUAUCGAGAGGAACACCUGCGGCGAAGGCGGGUUGCUGGGCUGACACUGACGCUGAGGCGCGAAAGCCAGGGGAGCGAACGGG
rnacentral:rRNA from 1 species